GAUGAACGCUGGCCUUGUGCCUAAUACAUGCAAGUCGAGCGAACGGACGAGAAGCUUGCUUCUCUGAUGUUAGCGGCGGGCGGGUGAGUAACACGUGGAUAACCUACCUAUAAGACUGGGAUAACUUCGGGAAACCGGAGCUAAUACCGGAUAAUAUUUUGAACCGCAUGGUUCAAAAGUGAAAGACGGUCUUGCUGUCACUUAUAGAUGGAUCCGCGCUGCAUUAGCUAGUUGGUAAGGUAACGGCUUACCAAGGCAACGAUGCAUAGCCGACCUGAGAGGGUGAUCGGCCACACUGGAACUGAGACACGGUCCAGACUCCUACGGGAGGCAGCAGUAGGGAAUCUUCCGCAAUGGGCGAAAGCCUGACGGAGCAACGCCGCGUGAGUGAUGAAGGUCUUCGGAUCGUAAAACUCUGUUAUUAGGGAAGAACAUAUGUGUAAGUAACUGUGCACAUCUUGACGGUACCUAAUCAGAAAGCCACGGCUAACUACGUGCCAGCAGCCGCGGUAAUACGUAGGUGGCAAGCGUUAUCCGGAAUUAUUGGGCGUAAAGCGCGCGUAGGCGGUUUUUUAAGUCUGAUGUGAAAGCCCACGGCUCAACCGUGGAGGGUCAUUGGAAACUGGAAAACUUGAGUGCAGAAGAGGAAAGUGGAAUUCCAUGUGUAGCGGUGAAAUGCGCAGAGAUAUGGAGGAACACCAGUGGCGAAGGCGACUUUCUGGUCUGUAACUGACGCUGAUGUGCGAAAGCGUGGGGAUCAAACAGGAUUAGAUACCCUGGUAGUCCACGCCGUAAACGAUGAGUGCUAAGUGUUAGGGGGUUUCCGCCCCUUAGUGCUGCAGCUAACGCAUUAAGCACUCCGCCUGGGGAGUACGACCGCAAGGUUGAAACUCAAAGGAAUUGACGGGGACCCGCACAAGCGGUGGAGCAUGUGGUUUAAUUCGAAGCAACGCGAAGAACCUUACCGAAUCUUGACAUCCUUUGACAACUCUAGAGAUAGAGCUUUCCCCUUCGGGGGACAAAGUGACAGGUGGUGCAUGGUUGUCGUCAGCUCGUGUCGUGAGAUGUUGGGUUAAGUCCCGCAACGAGCGCAACCCUUAAGCUUAGUUGCCAUCAUUAAGUUGGGCACUCUAAGUUGACUGCCGGUGACAAACCGGAGGAAGGUGGGGAUGACGUCAAAUCAUCAUGCCCCUUAUGAUUUGGGCUACACACGUGCUACAAUGGACAAUACAAAGGGCAGCGAAACCGCGAGGUCAAGCAAAUCCCAUAAAGUUGUUCUCAGUUCGGAUUGUAGUCUGCAACUCGACUACAUGAAGCUGGAAUCGCUAGUAAUCGUAGAUCAGCAUGCUACGGUGAAUACGUUCCCGGGUCU
rnacentral:rRNA from 1 species